UUAUGGCCAUAUAGCGUUGAAACACCGGCUCCCGUACGAUCACCGAAGUUGAGCAACGGGUCUGGUCAGUACCUAGAUAGGUGACCGCUUGGAAAUAGCAGGUG